GUUGAGUGGGACGACAGAGGGGUACUUUACUAAGAUAAAUCCAUAUUACAAAUGAAGGAAAAUCCAUAAGAUUGCAAUUAACGGCCACAGAACAGCCGGAACCGCUACAAGGAAAAGGAACAGAGUUCCAUGCAGCUCUCUCCUAGUCCUAGGAGAGCAUCGCCAACGACGCCAAGCAUGCAGCUACCGCACGCUAUUGGUCUUUUAUUCUCGCGCCUUUGCCUAGCAAGACAUAUACCCUUACAUUAUUAUUAUUAUUAUUAGGUGCGUGACAUGACACUCACACCGCCUCGAUGAUGGCGCCGGCCACCGCUUCCCAGCCGCGGAGGUGCUCGUCGUCGACGAUGUUGCUGCCGCGAACGCAUUGUCGCACGCACUGUUGGUGCUUGGUCCGAUCUUUCCAGCCCUGGCACUUCCUUUGGCAAGACAGUUGGCACUCCCUGUCGCACGGACGCCCGGCGACCUCCUCCUCUUGGGCGUGGCGGUGCUCGUCGACGUCGUUGCCGCCGCCCACAGCGAGGCUGAGGCCGCGGCGCAUGCACUGUUGCACGCACUGGUCCUUCCUCGUCGGGUCUUGCCAGUGGCUACACUUGUUCUCGCAAGACGCUCUGCUGGGGUGGUGAUGCUCCCGGCUGUGGCACUCGUCGACGCACUGCUUUUUCCUCGCCGGAACUUGGUGGUGUUGGCACUUGAGGUCGCACGAGUCGUUCUCCUCCGGAUCAUCGACGCGCAGACGGGCAACCACGAGGGACACGAGCAGUACUAUACUAGUACCCUACUAAUACCAAGGGAUGCGCUGGUGGCUAAGUUUGGACGAUAACGCCCUCGCAGACGUGUUCGGCUGCCAAGCAAACACCUGCCACGGACGUGGCGACGCAGGCGGUUGCCACGGUGAGGAGUGAUUUGUUUUUAUAUGCCAUCUGCGGGCUGAGUGGCUAAUCUUGUACUGGGAGCGCGCGCCCGGCAAGAGAUCUCCAUCGUCAUUUAAUAAAUACAUUAUAACUGAGCACUUUUUCAGCCCUCUCAGGUCAUCAGUGUUCUCGGCCAUUCGAUCGUUAUUUUGGAUUUUUAGCCGUCAGAUUAGCUCUGAAUCAUGCGUACGUUACUAUUAAGAAGCGCUAACUGUGCCGGGCCGCUGCUCCAGUGACAUUUUUGGACGUCCGAUAUUACUUGGGCCUAAUGGGAUGAAGCUCGACGGUCUUCCUCCCGUAAUCGUAGGUGGUAAGUGCAGAUGCGUUACUUGCCUCUUAAUCUUCAUCUGUUUCCUUAUAUAUAAUGCCCACCAUCAUCUGUCUCACAUUCGUAUCGCCUUGAACAUUCUGUUGUUUGACAGCUAAAUCCUAUAGGUCUCGGGCAACGACGUGACGAUCCUCUCGCCUGCGUUUGCGAUGGACAUGGCUGCGCCGAGACAAAGUGCUUUAGCUUCAUGGGCUACCCCAACAACAACAAUGACUUAUUGGUCUUCUUUUCCCACACCCCAACUCAAGUAUGUGAUUGAUUGAUUCAUUCAUUUGUUUCCCGUCAGUGUCCUCUUCAGAUGUGGAUGUGGAUUCUUGUUUCAUUUGGCCUGUUGCAGGAGCGAUGCUCAAUGGCGAUCUACAAAGGAACUUCCGGUAACAUGACUGCAUGUGCCCAAGAUUUUGAAAAGAGAAAAAUAGAACUUACUGUCCACUUUUUUUCCGGGUUUAUACUGUUCUUAGAGAGAUUAAAGUGGGGCGAAAGUCUGUAGGUUUGAGGAGGGAGGGAGGGAGGGAGGAAUACUUGCAGCUGCAUGAGGACGCUUUGAGUCAAUGAGACUUGCUACAUCCUCGCAGUUUCUUGGCAUGUAUGGGGGCAACCACUACCUGAUUCAUGUCCCCUCUUCUGGUGCUCCUUAAUCAAUUUACCAGCGAUUUCUCUGGCAAUAUAUUGAAGUCAAACUGAUGGUAAACUCAACAAUAAAUUAGGCAAAAAAUGCAGAUAUUUCGCAGGUUCAACUCUGAAUUUGGUUUAUUGCUCAUGUGCCUUCACGUAUGUAUAUCUUUGCCAUGUGUUAUGUUCUCAUGCAUAGGUCAAAUGAUUUGAAGAAGUUGGACUUGCUCGCCAUUGGUGGUUGUCUUACAUUUUGUUAAAUUCUAUGUAUUGAAGCCUGGAGCCUGGGAGCUAAAACCAAAUUCUGAGAAAAAACAAGACUAACUAUGUGGCAAGAGAAGGAGAAGGACAUCCAUAUAAGCACACACAGUCGCGUGGCGUAUGUCUGGAAAUAUAUUUUUCUGGUACACAGAAUGUCCGGUGUAGGUGCAUGUAGCGCCCCGGUGGAUUUUGAUGAUUAAUGGCAAAAUGGUGGAGGGGGUAACGUGUUUACUAGGUGUACAUAUAUGAAAGUCUCUGGGGAUUUCGUUUAACCGAAAGAUUAUAAACCCUAAAAGUGUUGAGAAAACAAUGAAGUCUUCUGAAUGGCUGACGAAGAAUUGAAGGCCGAAGAGUAGCUCUUAUUUGCUAGUAUAUUUACUUACUAGAUCGGCACCGCACCUUGGCGCGAGGUGCCUGUCCGAAUGUUUUGGUCAAACGUGUAAUGUUAAGUUAUUAGUAACUCAAUUGCUAUUCGGAUGAUAAAAAGGGCAAUGAAAGCAUGAUAUUACCACCAUGUAUCUAAAUGGGACUAACAACGUCUGAAUGAACUAGAGCUAUAAAUAGAUGUCAGACAGAAUGUAACUAAAAAUAUUGGUACUCGCUUAACGUUGCAACCUGAGAAACCUCAAAACACCCACCCAUGAAGCUAUUGUAUCACAAAGUAUAGACAAAUGUUACACUUUGUGUAUGUGAGCCAAGAGGGUUAAUGUCAAGUUGUUGUAAGCUAAACAAAGCAUGAUUUAUCGAUGCCAGGAGCUGGAGCGUUUGUGUCGAUGCUGGAAUGGCGAUAUGAAAAAAACAUUCAGUUUUUCUUGUAUGCACUUAGCAGUAUGUGCCAAACGACCAUAGUCAUACAUAUUUUCACAUUUGAAGAAGCAUCUAGCAUCGAGAGCUUGUAAGGCAUAAAUACUAAUUCAUUAUAUCUUAAAAUCAUAUGAGAAGGUACAAGCAACACGCAUACAGUGUAUUCAGAUAAUCACUUCGAUAUAGAAAGAGGGGUAGCUACUAUGGACAGGGCCAUAUGUCAGCACGUGCAACUGAAGCAAUUGAACAGGGCCCCAAAAAUUGAAGGGCCCCCGGCUGCAGGUAAUAAAGGUGUUAAACGGAGCAUUAAGUGAAGAAUUAUGAAAUAUUGCACCCCAAGGCAUCCUACUACUGCCGGUUCCCUCUCUCAAUGCAUUGCUACUGUUCCAAAAAAAAAUCAAUUUCACAAGCGCCAGAUUAACUAAUUGACCCAUCAUUUCCUCCCCAUCUUGAUUCUUUUCCAAUUCUUCUCGGGAAUAAUGCUUCACGAUUUCCCCAAAAGAAAGGCAUUAGUGGCAGCAAACUGGUGUGGUCAUGGACUCCAAUCUUCUCUAUAUUGGGGAGUUUUCCUCUCAAUUCUCAUGUGCUCUUGUUCAUCAUUUAGAACCUUGUGGAGAUUGGAGUCGCCCCUUGCACUGCUUUGUCGCUGACCUACCAAUGAAUCAUCGGAGCUUCAUUUGCAGUCUCGCAUGAUCUAAAACUACAGAGUCCUGGUAAGGUGGUGGCAGUUCUUACUGCUAGUUUGUUGUUCUUUCUAGAACUUGUGCAUCUGUGAGAACAAACUGCACAUUUUAAUCCGCUAUUUCAAACGUCAGGGCAUAAAUUUUGAUUCGCACAAGGCCUCUGAUUUUCUAAGUAUGACCCUAACUAUGGAACAAGCAUUUAUAAAAGGCUUACCUAACAGGACUAAUUAGCAUGGAUGCUCUCGCGAAUAUAGAAUAAAGAUCACAAACAAAAUGAAAAGCUACAAUUAAAUACUUAAUUACAGCCUGCAGUACAUAUGUUUAUCAUCACAUAUAACUUUUCUCUGUAUCUAGCAAACGGAGAAGAGACGGACCUGUUAUAGCAAGUAGAGACGGAAAUAUACCUGUGGUCGAGGGACUCGGCGUCUGGAGCACGAGGAGCCAUCGUGUGCCGCAGGCAAAUGAGCUCGCUGAAGCACUUUACGGCCCUGAGCCCGUUGCGUGGCGGCGGAAUACAUGGGGGCUCCGAUCCGGCGACCACCGGAGCGCGGCUGCCUCACCAUGGAAGACUGGAGGCGUCGCUGCGGUCGGACUAAGCAGGGUGGCGGCGGAUCCAGGCGAGAGGAGAUAGGUUUUUCAGAGGAAGGAGAAGAGCGACCGGAUGUACGGGCAAGGGAGGUACUUACGCAGGCCAAGGGCUCUUUGGGCUGAUAACGGGCCAGGGGCUGGGUAAGGCAGACGCUACGCUGAUUUAACCUGUGUUUUUUUAUUUCCUGUAAGCCGAUAUAGUUUACCUAGGAUAAUAAGGUAUUAUUUGUUGUGGUGAUAGAAAUCACAUUAGUUAAGUUUUCCUGAUUCGGAUUAUUCUUCAUUGUUUAUUGUCCUUUCAGACUGUUUAUAUUUUCUAAAUACAUUUACAUGGCUAGAAUUUAUUUUUAAAAUGACAAUAACAUUUUUUUAAUUGCAGUAUUGGCAGACUUACAUUAAUAUUUGUACAACAGAUGAAUGCUUUACUAAAAGCACAUGACCUAUAAGUAGUAUGUUUCUUUCCUUCAAAAUUUUAACACCCACCAACAGCAAGCCCUUUUUUGUCGGCAUCUUUUAUCGAAACACAUUAAAGUGUUAAAAAAUGCAUUGACAUUUUUUAAAACCAUUGGGAGGAAGAAUGAACGAACACGAAUGAACGAACACGAGUGUAAGCAAACUAUAUCUUCCCACGACCAUCUUCCUUGCCAAGCAUGCGUAAGGGAGCCCCUGCUCCGAGUGCGUCAAACACCGAGAGUGCCAGUGCGGAGCCCUAGUCGUUGCCUCUUGGCGCACUGGAGGCUACAACGUGCCUCACCCUCGCCGCGCGCACGGGAGGCCACCAUGAGCCUUACCCUCGCCGCCGUCGCUUGGCGCAUAUGAGGCCGCCAUGAGCCUCGCCCUCACCGCUGUCACUCAGCACCAAACAAAGCAUGCCCAAAAAGCAGAGCAAGAACGCCAUCCAAGAGAAGAAGAACAGGAGCACCACUCACUCGAACUUGUUGGAUUCACCUGCAGGAUGACGAUGAACUCAGCCACCUUUGAGCAGCUAACAAAGAGACCCGAAUAUCGCCCGGAGCGGCCUACUGUCGUCUCGUCUCCCCGUCGUCCGGCGUCCCAAGUCUAAGUAGCACGCGCACCCCGCACGCGGUUGGAUCCCUAGUUCUAGUAUAUAUAAUGAUAGAGAUGGUUUUAUAAGGUUGGUUUGGACUUGGGAACUAGAAUGAAGGAGUAUUCCAUGGUCAUAGGGAAGGGAUGCACAUGGAUCAGUGAGGUGGCGCGAUCCAGACCGCACGAUGAAGAUCAUGCCAUGGAUCAGUGAGGUGGCACAAGUCAUGGCCGCAUGAUGAUGAUGAUGGCUGGUGCUCAUCCUUGCUAUUACCAAGAAAGAGAGCUCAUUUUUCUUAAUGAUGACUGACCUCAAAGAAGAUUACUUCUUUUCUCUCUUUAUCCUUUUGGCAAACUAACUUUUCUAAGUCAGUGAAGUAAUUCAAUUAUGUUCUGCUUUCUUUGAGAACGUCGAAAAUCAAUUCUUAUAAAGUCUGUAAUUUAUCUUUCUUAUGUUCAAGCCGUCCUUGGUUGAUGUUCAUGGCAUGGGCAGUCUCUUUUCUCUUAUUUCACAAGAAUAACAAGUUUCUCUUAUUUCACAAGAAUAACCAAGUGGCUGACAUGGUAGCUUUUACAAUCAAAGCAAAUGGAUCUGGUUACAUAGGCAUUGAUCCUCAAAACAAGGACAAACAGAUUAUGCAUGUGAUCCUCAAACAAGUCCUCCUUUAUAUAGAUGCUCAGAGAAGUAGGCAAAUUUGGUUUGGCUGCAUCUUUCAGCAAAAUUUCAUUGGCGGACAAUAAUUCUGACCGGCCUAUAAAUACAAUCAUCUCAGCAAGGAAGGAACAACAAGAUGAUUACAUGUAUGUAUCCACAUGUCCACAACAACAUGUAAAUAGAAAGCAACAACAACUCUCCUAAAACAUCAAUCAUCUCAGCAAGGAAGGAACAACAACUCCCCAAGGAGGCGAGAAACAUUACAGACCAUCCCAGAUAGGCCUACGUCCAGCACUAUACACUAGGAAAACCAGGUUCGGUUCAGCACCAACGAGAUCCAGAAUACGUCCGCCGCCUUCUUCAUGUAGAGGCCCAGGUUGAUGAUGACCAACUUCGCCCUCUGAAACCUACAUGUACAGAUUAACAAUGCCAUCAAUGUCCAUCCAGCAAUGACGCGCUAGGGAAGACUUAAUCAUCAACAUUAUAUCACACAGACUGAACCAGUAAUAGCACAAUCAUUAUACCGCCGCCACGCCCCCUCUUGUUACGGAGGAAGAGCAAACCAGAGUACAACAAUAGUGUGUCCAUACACAGAAAAGAGGAAUCCCAAGAACAUGCUCUCCUGCCAUCCACACAUGCAUUAAAAAGAAACCUCGGAUUCAUUUAGUUAAGCGUCCAUGAUUGGCAGGAACAGAAAGUGCAGGUAAUAGCACUCAAAAGUAGGAGCAAAAUCAAACCUCCUCCUGGAGCCGAAGAUUUGGAGGUGCUGGUGUAGAGUAGGCCAUCAAACCUCCUCCAUGGGUGUGUUCUCCUGCCGCAGAGAGGAUGAUCAUCUGCAGGGGAGAGGGACAAUAGGUCAGGAUCAUCAUCUGCGUGCAUGAGGAAACCACAUGCCAAAUCAAACAGAGAGGAAUAUAAAACAGUGUAGGCGAUCCUCGUAUCAACCAAACCAGGAUAUAAAACAAAAGCUAUGCUCUAUGGAAGAGAAGAUCCUUCAUCAUCUAAGAAUCAAAUACGCAUUGUCUUGUCUAAAAGAACAAGCGUUAUCAUUCUAACAAGCAGGUCUACAAAAAAGCAUUAUUGCCACAGGAAAUGAACUACACAAUAGAUUUACAUUCCAUUUCUAGAUACAGAAGGCCUAAGAAAUCAAACUACCUACAGUAACAGCACCAGCCAGACAAACUACAGCAUAAACUACCUACGAACUAGUUACAGCUAGCACAAUCAUCUCUAGAAACAGAAGUUAAAUCUUGUUGAUUCAUGACACCCACAAGCAGCAAAUGAAUGAACUUUCAAGCUAGAGCUCACAAAUAAAACCAUCUCUUAGAAACUUGAGACUAAAGAUCUCCCCCUCUGUCUCCCCUCUCUUUUGACAGGGAGGAAGAGCAAACCAAAGUACAACGACAGUGCAACAUCCGGCAUCCAAACAUGGAAAAGAGGAAUCCCAAUAGCCAUGGCAGAGCAUGAGAGACUACACAAGUCAACAACUAAAUCGUGAACUGUAAUUGUUAUUUUUAUAUGUAGCAAACAAGAUUGGUUUUUCUUGGUUCAGAAGUUGAAAUGUGUGUGACUCAGUGGCUUACCCCUCUGUUGACAAGUUGAGAGCAGAUUUCACAUGGACCCCAAGAACUUGCUCUCCUGCUACCCCACACACAUGCAUCAAAAAGGAAACCCAGGUUCAUUCAGUCAAGAGUCCAUGAGUGGCAGCGACAGAAAGUGCAGUUAAUAGCACUGUAGAGUAGGAGCAAAACCGGACCUCCUUCUGGAGCUAAAGAUCUGGAUGUUGUUGCUCCUGGUCUGCAAUGAGGUCGUCGCCGCUGCGUCUCAGGUUCUCGAACACAUCCUCCGGGGGUGUGUUCUCCUGCGGCAGAGGAUUGUCAUCUACAGAGGAAGGGAGCAACAUGAACAACAGAGCAACAAGGGCAGGAUCUGAAGGAAAUAUGCCCUAGAGGCAAUAAUAAAGUUAUUAUUUAUUUCCUUAUUUCAUGAUAAAUGUUUAUUAUUCAUGCUAGAAUUGUAUUAACCAGAAACAUGAUACAUGUGUGAAUACAUAGACAAACAUAUAGUCACUAGUAUGCCUCUACUUGACUAGCUCAUUAAUCAAAGAUGGUUAUGUUAACCAUAGACAUGUGUUGUCAUUUGAUUAAUGGGAUCACAUCAUUAGGAGAAUGAUGUGAUUGACAUGACCCAUUCCGUUAGCCUAGCACUUGAUCGUUUAGUAUGUUGCUAUUGCUUUCUUCAUAACUUAUACAAAGUUCCUGCAACUAUGAGAUUGUGCAACUCCCGUUUACCGGAAGAACACUUUGUGUGCUACCAAACGUCACAACGUAACUGGGUGAUUAUAAAGGUGCUCUACAUGUGUUUCCGAAGGUACAUGUUGGGUUGGCAUAAUUCGAGAUUAGGUUUUGUCACUCCGAUUGUCGGAGAGGUAUCUCUAGGCCCUCUCGGUAAUACUCAUCACCUAAGCCUUACAAGCAUUGUAACUAAUGAGUUAGUUAUAAGAUGAUGUGUUACAGAACGAGUAAAGAGACUUGCCGGUAACGAGAUUGAACUAGGUAUUGGAUACCGACGAUCGAAUCUCGGGCAAGUAACAUACCGAUGACAAAGGGAACAAAGUAUGUUGUUAUGCGGUUUGACCGAUAAAGAUCUUCGUAGAAUAUGUAGGAGCCAAUAUGGGCAUCCAGGUUCCGCUAUUGGUUAUUGACCAAGAAUAGUUCUAGGUCAUGUCUACAUAGUUCUCGAACCCGUAGGGUCCGCACGCUUAAGGUUUCGAUGACAGUUAUAUUAUGAGUUUAUGAGUUUUGAUGUACAGAAGGAGUUCGGAGUCCCGGAUGAGAUCGGGGACAUGACGAGGAGUCUCGAAAUGGUCGAGACGUAAAGAUCGAUAUAUUGGACGACUAUAUUCGGAGUUCGGAAAGGUUCCGAGUGAUUCGGGUAUUUUUCGGAGUACCGGAGAGUUACGGGAAUUCGCCGGGAGUAUAUGGGCCUUAUUGGGCCAUACGGGAAUUGAGAAGAGAGGCCGAAAGGAAGGAGGCGCGCAGCCCCCCUCUGGUCCGAAUUGGACAAGGGGUGCAGCCCCUCUUUCCUUCUUCCUCUCCCCCUCUUUCCUUCUCUCCUACUCCAACAAGGAAGGAGGGAGUCCUACUCCCGGUGGGAGUAGGACUCCCCUUGGCGCGCCCCUACUAGGCCGGCCGCCCCUCCCCCCUUGCUCCUUUAUAUACGGGGCACGGGGGCACCUCUAGGCACAACAACACAAGUUGAUCUACGGAUCGUUCCUUAGCCGUGUGCGGUGCCCCCCUCCACCAUAUUCCACCUCGGUCAUAUCGUCGCGGAGUUUAGGCGAAGCCCUGCGCCGGUAGAGCAUCAUCAUCGUCACCACGUCGUCGUUCUGACGUAACUCAUCCCCGAAGCUUUGCUGGAUCGGUGCCCGGGGAUCGUCAUCGAGCUGAACGUGUGCUGAACUCGGAGGUGCCGUACGUUCGGUACUUGGAUCGGUCGGAUCGUGAAGACGUACGACUACAUCAACCGCGUUGUCAUAACGCUUCCGCUUAUGGUCUACGAGGGUACGUGGACAACACUCUCCCCUCUCGUUGCUAUGCCAUCACCAUGAUCUUGCGUGUACGCAGAAUUUUUUUUGAAAUUACUACGUUCUCCAACAGGAUCAUCAUCUGCCUGUGUGUCGCCUGCCGAAUCAAACAAAGAGGAAUAUUAAACAGUGUAAGUGAUCCUCGUAUCAACCAAACCAGAAUAUAAAGCAGAAUCCAAGCUCUGUGGAAGAUACGAUCCCUCAUCAUCUAAGAAUCAAACACACAUUGUCUUGUCUAAAAAACCAAAUACACGAUAUCAUUCCAACAAGCAGGCCUACAAAAAAAGCAUUAAAGCCACUGGAAAGGAACUACAAAAUAGAUUUACAUUCCGUUUUAAUUAGAGACCUAACUGGAUAUGGUCAUAUGAAAGAAGAAAACUACAAGAACGUGUUAUCAUUCAAUAAGACAUGGAAAUCCAAAGUGACUUCUGGAAAUAAAUUCUCAUACAAAUCCAUGCAUUGUGCCAUGAUGGGUUUUUUGUAGGGGAGGGGCACCGUCAGAAAUGUGGGGGUCCAGACAAGAAAAGGAAAGGACACAUGCAAUUGACAAAUCUAUUUGUUUCAAAAGGAGUAAACAGGUACAUUUUUUUACAGGAAUUGCAACUCAUAGGUGCCACAAUGUGUCUAGAAUAAUGAUCAAAACUGACAUGUUUGUCAAGUUCUAAAGGUAUUAUCCCACUUAUAUUGUUGAUGUACAACUACUUACGCUAAGAUGGAUUAGUGAAUCCAAGUUCAGGGCCCAACAUGGAUGGAUUAGUCUGUCCAAAUUAAGCCCCUGGUAAGCUUGAACUACUUACUAACACGCAAAACAACCAUGCCUAGGUAAAAAGGACUAUGUGUCCCUUUGGAUUCUGGCCCUGGUAGCCCUGCCAAUCACCGACUCGCCAAAAUUCUGGCACAGGAUUUCGAUGGGCAUCAGGCGAGCCAAAAAAUGGGAAACCAUCCAGAUAGAUGCCAUUGCUGCGGUUGAAAGGAUCGAUAUGCUUGACUAGAGGGAGGGGUGAAUAGGCAACUAACACUUUUUAGACUUUUCUUUAACAAUUUAAACCUUGCAAUGAAAUAGGUUGUCUAGAUGUGCAACUACGUGGACAACCUAUAUGAUGCAAAGACAAUAAGCACACAAGCAAGCAAUGGAUAUAGCACAAGUAAGCUUGCAAAAGUAAAGGGACAAGAUAACCAAGAGUGGAGCCGGUGGAGAUGAGGAUGUGUUACCGAAGUUCCUUCCUUUUAAGGGGAAGUACGUCUUCGUUAGAGCGGUGUGGAGGCACAAUGCUCCCCAAGAAGCCACUAGGGCCACCGUAAUCUCCUCACGCCCUCACACAAUGCGAGAUGCCGUGAUUCCACUAUUGGAGCCCUUGAAGGCGGCAACCGGACCUUUACAAACAAGAUUGGGGCAAUCUCCACAACACUUGGAGGCUCCCAACAAUACCGCGAAGCUUCACCACAAUGGAGUAUGGCUUCAAGGUGACCUCAACCAUCUAGGGUGCUCAACACCCAAGAGUAACAAGAUCCGCUAGGGAUAAGUGGGGGGAAUCAAGUAUCCUGUGGUGGAAGUGUAGAUCGGGCACUUGUCACCCAAUCCCGAGCAAAUCAACAAGUUUGAUUGGCUAGGGAGAGAGAUCGAGUGAAAAUGGAGCUUGGAGCAACAAUGGAGCUUAGAGGUGGAAGAGGUAGUCAACUAGAGGUAGAAGACACCCCUUAUAUAGUCGUGGAAAGAAUCCAACCGUUAUCCACAUGUUCAGCCCACGACACACAGUACUACCGCUCCAGGGGCGCGGUACUACCGCGAAGCUGUGCGGUACUACCGUGGCUGACCAUAGUACUACUGCGACAGCAGCACAGGCCGGAACUAGCCUGACAAGGGGGCAGUACUACCACUUGCGCGGUACUACCGCACCCACUUGCGGUACUACCGCUAGGCAGGAAAGUCACGGCCUGGGAAGGGCGCGGAUGAAAUAAAUUACAUCCGUGCCUACUUCCGCUGAAACUGAGGUGGUACAAAAAUCCGACGCGGUACUACCGCUCGCGAGGCGCGGUACUACCGUGCGGGCGCGGAUGUAAAAAAUUACAUCCGCGCCUACUACCGCGACACUGCGGUACUAGGUAGGAGGGCCACGGUACUACGACUCCUAGGGAGCGGUACUACCGUGGGCCCCCACAGUACUACCGCGCUGGACGAGCGGUACUACCAUGGAGGGUGCGGUUGUAAAAAAUUACAUCCGCCCCUACUACCGCACCGGAGCGGCACAAGGCCUGGGAGCCGCGGUACUACCGCUCCAUAUGAGCGGUACUACCGUGACACACCGCGGUACUACCGCGUGUACUUGCGGUACUACCGCAAGUACAGCAGUAGUCGUCAAAUUUCCGCACAACCAAGAUAACAAAGGGAAGCUCCAAAAUGCAGGGAAAGGAGGAACAAGUAUACGUGUUGAUUCCACCCAAACCUUUCCGACGCGGACCCCCUCUUAAUAGUACGGCUCUCCUACGACUCAAAUCCACCAAAGAGAAACGUAGAACAACGCCGACUUCAAUAGUCUCCGAGGGGCACCGAAUCGUCUCAUGCCUAGAGAUGAAGUAUCUGAGAAACUCAAGGCACACGAUUAGUCCGCAAAUGCAUUGUCAUCAAUCACCAAAACACCUGAGGAAUAAAAUAUGCCCUUACAAUCUCCCCCUUUUUGGUGGAUUGAUGACAACACGGGAUUUGCAUAUAGAUAAGAUAAUUUAGAGCAGGGGCAAACCCCACCGCUCUAAAAUAUAGACGGGCUCCCCCUAGAUGUGUGCACUUUAGAUGAAUGCUUUGGACUGCAUAGCACACAGACUAGGAUCAACACUCCCCCUAUAUUUUAGAGACCAAGGCAUGAUAAUAAGCAUAGCAAAGCAUAAAGAUAACACAAUAUAACACAAGCUCGCUAGGAUAGAUAGAGUGCAUAUGUCUUACACCAUACGAAGUAAAGCUAUCGAGGUUCAAACGAGAAAGCAGCAAAUAGUUCAAACGAGAAAGCAGCAAACACACGACACACUCGCAAAUCCCUACACUCUCUCCCCCUUUGGCAUCGAGACGCCAAAAAGGCAGAGAGGACACCUACACACAAGAGGUGGCUCAAGCAGAGACCUCAUCCCAAGCCUCUCUGUCGGUCUCCUCGGCAGCAGGGAUGGUCUCCUCGACAUCCUCCUCAGACUCAGUCCACCUGUAGCCCUGCUUCUCCAUCCACUUGGCCUCUGGAGUGAUGUGCUCCUCAGACCUGCCAGACACUGCCUCACCAUAGAGCUGCAAGAUCUUGUUGUCCCGGCGACGACUCUCGUUGGACGCCACGUGAGUCCUGUACUGCCCCUUGGCUUGCAUGAAGAAAAGAGUCUUCAUCUUGUCCUUCAGCUUCUUGGCCCAUGAUGGCAUAGUGGUACUCUGGGAAGGCCUAGCAGCACGGCCCUCAGCAACAUCCUCGGCGCCAGCAUCCUCCUCAUCAACAGCAGCCCUAGCAGCAGUCGCCUCGGCACGAGUAGUGGUGUUGGCCCAGUUGGAUUUGAUACGCAGGCAGAUGGGCUCAUGGCGAACCCAGUCUGCAGCAAGAAACUCCUCAUCAGGGAACAUCUUCUCCCAAGUCUUUGAAAUCAGCAGAAACAGAUAGGGCCCAUAGAUAGGCACCUUGCGGUUGAACACUACAAACCGGAGCUCACACCACAUGAUGUGUGAGACAUCAAGUGGCUGAGACUGAGACGAACGAGCCUCCUCGCAGAUGAGCAUCAUGUCCACCAUAUAGGCAUGAACCUUGUCUUUGUCAUCGAUGCGAGGGAACAAGGAGUUGCGGAAGAUGCGAUACAUGAUAUCCAAAAAAGGGUUGAGUACCAGAGUUGUCUUGCCAUUGGCGAGCGCCUUCUCAACCAUGAAUGGUGCAAGCCUGUCCUUGUUGGCAGAGUCAGCAUUGGCAUGGGGGCGAACACCCACUGGAGAGUUGAGCCCAUCAUCAGGAACCUGGAGAAGAUCCAUGAACUCCUUCCAGGUAGCAGACAGCUUACGGCCAUUGGUCAUCCAGGUCAUCCUCCGUUCCUCAUCGGAGUGAAAGUAGACUGAGGCAAAGAACUGACAGAUAAGCUCAGGGUCAUAGUCGAGGUGGAAGGUUAACACAUGCUCAAUGCCAAACUGCUCCACCAAGUCCAGAGCCUCUCCAAAGUAGUCACGGAACUUGUCCUUCCUCAUGUGAUGCAUAUCAAUCCACUUCACCUCCACAUAGGUAUUCUGCUUGUUCUUGAUGACAUCCAGAUAGAUGUUGGUCUGUUGCUUGUUCCAGAACAGCUCACAGCCUCUGACAGUGGAACGCGGGUGCACAUAAGGGUGAAGCUGCCUGAGACGGACAUAAUCAGCUUGGGCUAUCUCAUCCAUGCCCUUAGCGGGCUCCUUGUGCUUGCUAGCUGAGUGCUUGACAUUGCGCUUGGAGGCAGACGAGCCCUCUGGUACAUCACCUGGGUUGCGCAGACGUUUGGAACUAGUGUCACGACUGGGGUUGGACCGGCGAGAGCCACCACCUGAGACACACAUGCAAAACACCAAAUACGCGAAAGGAUCAAUGCAAAGGCCACGAAAAAGCACAAGAAACACAUAGAAGGCAUACGAGAAAGUUGGCAUGCGAUAGAUGUGAGCCAUGGUAGAACUGCCACUGCCUGCGGUACUAAAAUAUUAGUACUGCUCCAAACGUGGUAGUACCAUGCGAGGUCACGGUAGUACCGUGGUUGGAGCGGAAGUAAAAUUUUAGUACCGCAUAGAGCGCGGUAGUACCGCUCCCGAAGGGCGGUAGUACCGUGCAAGCGGUAGUACCGCGCCAGACGGGCGGUAGUACCGCGUCGCGUCAGAUCCAACCGGCGGUUUGAAUCUGAAAAGAACCGCGAAACAAUGGCGGUGCUACGAUGAUCCGAUAUAGCGCAAGACAACAAUACAAGUAUAAAUCCUAUGCAAUACCACGCUCCUUCAUCCUACUCUUGCAGAGAUUAAGCCUAAGAAUCUCAAGAACACACAAGCCUCCCCCCAAACCUAGAAACACUAAACACAAUCAACACGGAGAGGGAGUUGGGGAAAAACCUUGGUCCAUAGCAAGAGCACGUGGUGGGGAUUGAUCCUACCGGUCGGAAUCACGGGAGGGCAGCCGGUGGAGGAGAUCCAGCGACGAGCGCCGGCUCCGUUCUUGAGCGAGGGAGAGAAGGAGGCGACGUGGAGAGAGAGGACGGCGAAUGGGUAUGGGGAGUUAAAAGUCCCCAUGCCUGUCCUUAUCCCGACGCGCUCGAACCGGCGCGGUAGUACCGCGUAUCAUCGCGGUAGUACCGCUCGAGCGGAAGUACCGCGCCGAGGCGGUAGUACCGCUCAACCAGGCGGCAGUAAAAAAUUACUUCCGCGUGGUGAUGGUAGUACCGUGCUCCCGCAAGCGGUAGUACCAUGGCUGGCUGCGGUAGUACCGUAGCUGGCCGCGGUAGUACCGUGAGCUCAAGUCACCGCAAGUUUCAACACGAGAAGAAAAAGCCUUUGCGCUGAAACUUUUCACACACAAGAAACCACAAGAACACGCACAAACCAGAGGCAAAAAGACAACAAGAAACCACCAAGCGACAAAGCCUCUCAAGGAGAGAGGGCGGUGGCCGAAGCCACCUAUGUUUGAGUUGGAUGGUAUGGCACCGCGAAGAAUUAUCCUUGGGCCCAUGACCAAAACUCGUCUUUGAAGCACAAGUACCAUUAAAAAUGGCUAAUGUGAAAGAGGUGAUCGAUUUAUGCAUAAUGGGGGGAGGGAGAGUUCAUUGAGAGAACAACACUCCCCCUAUGUCCAUGCCUACACCUAAACUAGACAACACGUUGAGUGUGGUGGGGGGUGUACGGGUUCAAGUCACAUUGCUCAAAUCAAUGAUAUUUAGCUCAUGCCUUAACUCGCGAAAUCUUGCUUCAUCCAAAGGCUUCGUGAAAAUAUCUGCAAGGUUAUCAUGAGUGUUGACAUACUUGAGCUCGAUCUCCCCUCGCCUAAUGUGAUCCCGGAUGAAGCGAUACCGAAUCUCAAUGUGCUUCGUCUUGAAGUGUUGUACCAGGUUGAGAGAAAUCUUGAUGGCACUUUCAUUAUCACACCAAAGAGGCACUUUGUCACAAAUGACACCGUACUCCUUUAAAGUUUGCCUCAUCCAUAGGAGUUGAGCACAACAACUACCGGCCGCCACAUACUCCGCUUCGGUGGACGAGAGAGACACACAACUUUGCUUCUUGGAAGACCAACUUACCAAAGAGCAACCAAGAAAUUGGCACCCUCUGAAAGUGGACUUCCUAUCCACUUUGUCCCCCGCCCAAUCGGAAUCCGUGAAACCUUCAAGCUUGAAAUUUGCUCCUCUUGGGUACCAUAAGCCAAAGUUUGGGGUAUGAGCCAAAUAUCGAAAGAUUCUCUUGACCGCCACAUAGUGACUUUCCUUUGGUGCGGCUUGAAACCGUGCACACAGCCCCACACUCAACAUGAUAUCCGGUCUAGAUGCACAAAGGUAAAGCAAGGAGCCAAUCAUGGAGCGAUAUACCUUUUGAUCCACCGCUUUACCAUUGGGAUCGAUGUCAAGUUGGCACUUGGUAGGCAUUGGUGUAGAAGCCGGCUUGACAUCACUUAGCUUGAAUCUUUUAAGCAUGUCUUGAGUGUAGUUGGCUUGGUUGAUGAAGGUUCCUUCUCUUCUUUGUUUGAUGUCAAAGCCAAGGAAGAACUUCAACUCUCCCAUCGAAGACAUCUUGAACUUGGAGGUCAUGAGAGCAGCAAAUUCCUCAUUGAAAGCUUUGUUAGGAGAACCAAAGAUAAUAUCAUCAACAUAUAGUUGGCAUACAAACAACUCCCCUUUGACCUUCUUAGUAAAAAGAGUGGGAUCGAUUUGUCCUACUUCAAAUCCACGAUCUUGUAACAACUCGGUAAGGUGGUCAUACCACGCACGUGGGGCUUGUUUAAGGCCAUAGAGUGCCUUAUCGAGUUGAUACACAUGAUCCGGAAAGUAGGGGUCCUCGAACCCGGGGGGUUGCUUGACAUAAACCAACUUAUUAAUGGGACCAUUAAUAAAAGCACUUUUCACAUCCAUUUGUUGCAACUUAAAGUUGUGAUGGGAAGCAUAAGCAAUCAACAAACGAAUGGAUUCAAGACGAGCAACGGGAGCAAAGGUUUCACCGUAGUCGAUACCCUCGACUUGGGAGUAGCCUUGCGCUACCAAUCUUGCCUUGUUGCGAAUGAUGUUCCCAUGAGCAUCUUGCUUGUUCUUGAAGAUCCACUUUGUUCCAAUGACGUUGUGGUUCCCCGAAGGUCUUGGCACCAAUCUCCACACCUUGUUGUAUUCGAAGUUGUUGAGUUCUUCAUGCAUGGCAUUGAGCCAAUUCGAGUCUUCGAGCGCCUCAUAGACCUUUUGGGGUUCAACACAAGAGACAAACGCAUGAUGUUCACAAUAGUUAGCUAAUUGUCUACGAGUGCUUACCCCCUUUCUUAGGCUUCCAACCACGUUUUCCAUGAGAUGGCCUUGUGUGGUGAGUUUGGAAUCUAUCUUCGCGGCACGACGCUCUAAUUCCUCCUCUGGUGUGGAAGGAGGAAGGUUAACUUGAUCAUCUUGAGUGCCGUCUUGAGCUUGCUCAUGAUCUUGAACUUGCUCGAGGGGGAGAACUUGACCUUGGGCAUCAUUUAGAGGUUCACCAUCAUCUUGAGGUUGAUCUUGCCCUUGGUCUUGUUCAUGAGGGUGAGGGCCUUCACUUUGUUCUUCGGAAGCGUGUGGGUCUUGGGGAGGUGAUGGCUCCACUUGAGUGGAGCAUUGUCCUUCUCCUUCGGCCACAAGGGGUUCCUCAAUAGGUAGGAUAUAACCAAUACCCAUUCUUCUUAUGGCUUGGGGAGGAAUUUCAUCGCCUACAUCACAAGUACCACUUUGCUCCACUUGGGAGCCGUUAUUUUCAUCAAACUCUACGUUACACGUCUCCUCAAUGAGUCCGUUGGACUUGUUGAGAACACGGUAAGCAUGAGAGUUUGUAGCAUAACCAACAAAUAUGCCCUCAUGAGCUCUAGCUUCGAAUUUAGACAAGCGAACACCUUUCUUGAGAAUGAAACACUUACACCCGAACACCCGGAAGUACUUGAGAUUGGGCUUGUUCCCGGUGAGUAUCUCAUACGGAGUCUUGUUCAAGCCUUUGCGAAGAUAGAGCCGAUUGGAUGCAUGACAAGCUGUGUUGAUGGCUUCGGCCCAGAAGUUGUAUGGAGACUUGAACUCCGCCAUCAUGGUCUUUGCCGCAUCCAUCAACGUCCGGUUCUUCCUCUCCGCAACACCAUUUUGUUGAGGGGUAUAUGGUGUAGAAUAUUGAUGCUUGAUCCCUUCAUCACUAAGAAACUCAUCCAAGGUGUAGUUCUUAAACUCGGUGCCGUUGUCACUUCUUAUUGUCAAGAUCUUUGCAUUGUGUUGACGUUGAGCUUCAUUUGCAAAGUCGAUGACGGUUUGUUGAGUCUCACUCUUCCUCUUGAAGAAGUAUACCCAAGUGUAUCUUGAAUAAUCAUCCACAAUCACCAAGCAAUACUUUCUACCCCCAAGACUAUCAAAGGAUGGGGGCCCAAAGAGGUCCAUGUGGAGGAGCUCCAAGGGUCUCUUCGAGUAGAUGAUAGUUGUGGGAGGGUGAGCCGUCUCAUGAAGCUUUCCUUCGAUACAAGCACUGCAAACACGAUCUUUGGCAAAACUAACAUUCGUUAGUCCAUGAACAUGGUCCCCCUUGAGAAGACUUUGCAAAGAUCUCAUAUUGACGUGGGCUAAACGGCGAUGCCAAAGCCAUCCCACAUCAACUUUAGCCAUUAGGCAUGUCACGGUCUUAGUGGGUUGCUCCGAAAAGUUAACCACAUAGAGACCGUUCUCGACAUGCCCAACAAAGGCUACUUUAAGAGUCUUGCUCCACAAGAGGGCCACGGUAUCAAUAUCAAAGAAGGUGGCAAAACCCAUGAGUGCGAGUUGACGAACGAAAAGUAAAUGGAACACAAGGGACUCAACAAGCAUGACUUUCUCGAUCGUUAGAUCAUGAGAAAUGACAACCUUGCCAAGACCCAAUACCUUAGAAUGUGAGGCAUCACCCCAUUCGACAUUGGUGGGCAUAGAUGGGAUCUUGUGCAUGUCCACCACCAAGUCCUUGCUCCCGUACAUAUGAUUUGUUGCUCCACUAUCGAGCAACCAUGAUCCCCCACCGGAAGCAGAAACCUUGUUGGUGGCCUUAGCCAUGAGGCACUUGGCGGUGAUGUUCUCGUUAGGUGCAUCGAAGAGAGACACCCGAGGAGUUGUGACAAUGGCAACAGAUGCCAUGGCCAUUGUUUCACCAUCUUCAUCAUCAUCGUCAUCCUCACGGUAUUCUUCUUGAACCACCAACCCGCGAGGAGUCUUCCUGGUGAAGUUGUUCUUGUUGGGGAAGGACUUGGCUUUGUCUUUUCGAAUGAACUUGCCACCAUUGUCUUCCCGCUUCUCGUAUGGACAAUCCGCAACGAAAUGGCUAACAUUGCCACAGUUGAAACAAGUUCUAACUCGUUGCUUCCCCUUGAGGCCACUUGAGUUGUUCUUGUUGAAGUUGGGUCUUGUAGUCUUCUUACUCCAAAACUGUCUUGAGGCAAGAGCCAUGUGCUCAUGAUAAUCAUACUUCGUGUCCUCGGGGUUGCUCUCCUCAUCUUCCUCUUCUUCUUCUUCUUCCACACUAACCUUGGCCUCCAAGGCAAGAUUGGGCUUCUUUGCCCUUUGGGAACGGAGCACCGCAUUGUCGGCGGUCUUGUCCAAGAUGCUCAUUGCAACAAACUCAUCCAACACUUCACUAGAGGUCAUGGAGUGGAAGUCCGGUCUUUGGCGAAUGACGGAGGACAUGGACUUGUUGUAGGGCAUCAUGGCCUUGAGGAACUUGCGCUUGAUCCAGUUGUCAUCCGUGUCCUUGCUUCCAUGAUCUCGGAGUGCGACCGCGAGUUUGGUCACUCUUCGAAAGAGCUCACGAGGUUCUUCAUCCUCUUUCAUAGCAAACUCAUCGGCCUCAUCUUGCACCACUUCAUAGUUGGAGCGUUGAAUGCUAGCACUUCCUCGAUAGAGACGCUCAACACAUUUCCAUGCUUCUUUAGCCAUGGCAUGAGGUCGAAGAUGAGGGAGAUCUUCGGGAAGGAUUGCAUCUUGGAUGAUGAAGAGAGCACUUUCAUUGAAUUGAUUGUCCACUUCUUCUCAAGGAGUGAAGUUGCUUGGAUCAUGAGGAUAGAAACCUUCUUCAAUAAUUCUCCAAAGGUUAGUGUUAACAUGUUUUAAGUGACGCUUGAAGCGAUAGAGCGAAGCAUCAAAAUCUUCAUUUUUCACAUAUUUAGGAGGAGGACCGGCAUGAUUCAAAUGAGUAGAGGGGAUCGGUCCUCUAUACACCGGGGGUUCCACAUUGGCAAAGAUGCUGGUGCCAUUUCUACCACUAGUAGACGGACUCUUUUCACUAUUAGCUUCCCCCUUGUCGGGGUUAGCAUCCAUCACCUUAUUAAUGGGAUCACCCACUUUCAUUGGCGAGGUAGAUAGUUUGAGUCCCUCUAGGAAUUCAGAAAACAUGCUUUUAACCUCGGCCGUCAUGGAGGUUUUCAAUGUGUCUAAAGCCACAUUAAAUUCCUCACGAGAGACCGAGGUUCCCCCUUCGGCCGAAGACGAGACGGGAUUCACACCGGAGACGAGGCUCUGAUACCAAUUGAGAGAGACGGGAUCCUCCGCACCGUCAUUGUUAUCAACCAUACUCUUCGGAUGGCAAAGUCCUUAAUAAAGAGACGAGGCUCUGAUACCAAUUGAAAGGAUCGAUAUGGUUGACUAGAGGGAGGGGUGAAUAGGCAACUAACACUUUUUAGACUUUUCUUUAACAAUUUAAACCUUGCAAUGAAAUAGGUUGUCUAGAUGUGCAACUACGUGGACAACCUAUAUGAUGCAAAGACAAUAAGCACACAAGCAAGCAAUGGAUAUAGCACAAGUAAGUUUGCAAAAGUAAAGGGACAAGAUAACCAAGAGUGGAGCCGGUGGAGACGAGGAUGUGUUACCGAAGUUCCUUCCUUUUAAGGGGAAGUACGUCUCCGUUAGAGCGGUGUGGAGGCACAAUGCUCCCCAAGAAGCCACUAGAGCCACCGUAAUCUCCUCACGCCCUCACACAAUGCGAGAUGCCGUGAUUCCACUAUUGGAGCCCUUGAAGGCGGCAACCGGACCUUUACAAACAAGAUUGGGGCAAUCUCCACAACACUUGGAGGCUCCCAACAAUACCGCGAAGCUUCACCACAAUGGAGUAUGGCUUCGAGGUGACCUCAACCGUCUAGGGUGCUCAACACCCAAGAGUAACAAGAUCCGCUAGGGAUAAGUGGGGGGAAUCAAAUAUCCUGUGGUGGAAGUGUAGAUCGGGCACUUGUCACCCAAUCCCGAGCAAAUCAACAAGUUUGAUUGGCUAGGGAGAGAGAUCGAGUGAAAAUGGAGCUUGGAGCAACAAUGGAGCUUAGAGGUGGAAGAGGUAGUCAACUAGAGGUAGAAGACACCCCUUAUAUAGUCGUGGAAAGAAUCCAACCGUUAUCCACAUGUUCAGCCCGCGACACACGGUACUACCGCUCCAGGGGCGCGGUACUACCGCGAAGCUGUGCGGUACUACCGUGGCUGACCAUAGUACUACCGCGACAACAGCACAGGCCGGAACUAGCCUGACAAGGGGGCAGUACUACCGCUUGGGCGGUACUACCGCACCCACUUGCGGUACUACCGCUAGGCAGGAAAGUCACGGCUUGGGAAGGGCGCGGAUGAAAUAAAUUACAUCUGUGCCUACUUCCGCUGAAACUGAGGUGGUACAAAAAUCUGAUGCGGUACUACCGCUCGCGAGGCGCGGUACUACCGUGCGGGCACGGAUGUAAAAAAUUACAUCCGCGCCUACUACCGCGACACUGCGGUACUAGGUAGGAGGGCCACGGUACUACCGCGCUGGACGAGCGGUACUACCAUGGAGGGCGCGGAUGUAAAAAAUUACAUCCGCCCCUACUACCGCACCGGAGCGGCACAAGGCCUGGGAGCCGCAGUACUACCGCUCCAGAUGAGCGGUACUACCGUGACACACAGCGGUACUACCGCAAGUACAGCAGUAGUCGUCAGAUUUCCGCACAACCAAGAUAACAAAGGGAAGCUCCAAAAUCCAGGGAAAGGAGGAACAAGUGUACGUGUUGAUUCCACCCAAACCUUUCCAACGCGGACCCCCUCUUAAUAGUACAGCUCUCCUACGACUCAAAUCCACCAAAGAGAAACGUAGAACAACACCGAUUUCAAUAGUCUUCGAGGGGCACCGAAUCGUCUCAUGCCUAGAGAUGAAGUAUCUGAAAAACUCAAGGCACAUGAUUAGUCCGCAAAUGCAUUGUCAUCAAUCACCAAAACACCUGAGGGAUAAAAUAUGCCCUUACAGCGGUCAACGCCAAAUAUUUGGCCAAGCGGAUCGGGGGUGCGAUCCAAACAACCCCUAUAAAUCAAAUAUCGUCUAGACAAAACAACAAGUUCCAGUACCAGAAUUCAUCAUCAAACUCUAAAGAUCAAGAGCUCAAACCAAGUGUGGUGUCAUGGUCUUCAUUCUAGAAAUACAUGUAACAACCAAGUGAGCAAUCAAAUCAUCGAGAACCAUCUUUUUGGUUCAUAACCAUCAAAUUCGUGUAAACAGUGUAGAGGAGUGGCUCAUCUAAUUAAAAUCUCACUCUAACAACAAUUUGACCUUAAACAGAAGUAAAGGCAUCAUGCGUACCCUAAAUAGAACAGAUAUUUACUCCUUGUAAACUGUGAGUAAUGAUCAAGAUACACAAGCCCUAGAGACCAAGGAUAUAACAGCAGAAAGUCAUGCUUAAUCCAACAAUAACAGAACAUGCACAAGCAAAGUCACAGAUUCAAACUUCUGAUCCCUGGAACAAGUCUAAAGCAUAGAAGCAGCCAUAGCUCACCUUCCAUGCAACAAUGACUUAUAUUUGGACAUGGUGAGGUGGUCGCAUAAGCCAUCGGAUCAGAGACUAGGAAGAACACAGGUUGAUGAAGUCAGGCGUGUUGCUGCUCGCCAUCUUGUUUUAGUCUCCAUCCACACGCCCAUGCUCAUCAAAGGUGAUGUUCACCAAUAAAGCAGGCAAUAAAGAAGAAAAGUUUAUCACACACACACACAUAGAGAGAGAACAAUGCACUAAACAACAGGUCAAUAUCAUCGCAACUUAUCCAUUUGACAUGGCAUCAUGAUGGCCGUGAACCAAGAGCAACGAAAGCCGUGGCUCGAUGACCACAAGGUCAGAGCAGCGGGAGUCGAGGAGCAGAGAAAGGAGAGGUGCUGGGGGAGCUCACCAUGGUUGUCUUCUAGCCGAUGCCCAACAUCGCCGCCUAUGUGGCUCCACAGCGGGGCCAAUGGAAGAUGACGAGGCCGAAGACUGAGCCUACCACCGCGCACCUUGCCUGGCAUAAUGAACCUCUUCUCCUCUGCAUAGGUGAUCAUGUUGUACCAAAUCCUACACAAGGACAACACAAAAAACAAAUCUUCAGGGUGGUAAUUUAGUACAGACAACCUAAUGAAUUGUAUAAACUCCAAAUUUUGUAAAACAUGAUCAUAACAAGUGGAAAAAAUAGUACUUGGCCAAUUCACAUUAAAUCAAUAGAAACCGGCAUUCAUGGUAUUCUACUGAAAAAUAACCCCUGGUCCUAAACUGAGAAAAAUAAAAAUGAGCAAGCCUCAAAAGCAACCUGCCUUGUCAGUCCCAAAAGGCUUAGCUAGACCUGGACCUCUACAUCUAAUUCAAGCCCCAAGAGGCUAAGGUUCUUUUUAUGGUGUGUAGAAAUAUUUGAUAACUCUAUAUUAUAGUUCAAAUAAGCACAUAAAGACAGAAUCCUACUGGAAUGUAUAAUAACAUCAAAUAUUCAUUAGUAUACUAUGUUAGUUUACUAUGGCAGUUCGUUUUCUUCUCUUUAUUACUUUAAUGUCGAAUUUUCAUAGUCGGUCAUCCUCUACAGCCGAUCCUAGACAUCACGAAUCGCACCAACUUAACCAAGUUGAGACCACCAGAGUAAAGCCUAGUUCAUCAUCACAUAACUGAACCAUCUAAUAGAUCACAUAAAUGGAAGUUCAGUUCUACCAGAUUGCUAAAUCUAUGGGAGCAACUGUCCAGGAAAGUGUAUAUAUCGGUAAAAAAGACCAGCAACAUUUCGUGUUCCACUAUCAUGGGCUCAAUGAAAGAUACAGCUGGGCAAGGGGGUAGUGCAGCUCGGAGAGAGAGAAAGGUACCUACCUCAGAUACAGCUGGGCAAGGGGGUAGUACAUAAAAAACUAGGUGUUAUAUGUUUCAGAUUCUAACUCUAGGAUUGCGCACAAAUGUAUAAUGUAUAUCACACAAAGGGCAUUCAAGUUUGAUGCUUAUCGUCAGGUGAAUCCAGGGAAAGCAUGUUACAGUAUACAUCAUCAUAGUUCAUCAUUCUUGCAGUGACAAUUUUAGGAGUUGAGAAAGUGAAAAGGUGAUCCAAUAAAUAGUAAUCAAUUCAAUACGCUAUUGGCUAAAAGUGAAGAAUUAUUAGUUAGCACACUAUAUAGACACACAGUAUAACAUUUUGAAGAAUCCGUAACAGACUAGCUGGUUGGUCCCAGUGUCCCACUUUCAGCCUUUUUUUCCUAAAGCUUUUAUUCAAGACUUAAAGCAAACCAUUUAAACAAGUAGACAUACUCCAAGCACAAAGUUGGGACGUGGGAGUGGCCAAAGAGCUGGAAAUUUCUUUAAUCAAUAAGUAUUUUGCUUCUACAGAAAUCAAUAAAAAUACAAAACUUCCACUGAUAUAUUCAAUACAAGAAGGCCCUCGAUUAACGCUAAGGCAUAUUGCACUGGCAUAUCCAGGGUUGAAUUCCAGACUAAACUGAGAAACCCUUGAGUUCAAAAUGAAUAAGCAAAGAAUUUUCAUGCACAAGAAAACAGACAAGGAAUGUUCACUUCAAGAAAUCAUAAAUGGAAGAUUAAGCAAAUCCACUUGUGUUGUAACAAACACUAACGAAGUUGUCUUAUCAUUUGAGACUUCCAGCACUUGCUUACAGUACCACAAGAGGCAAUGAAAAUUUUACUCUAGGAACACUACCGGGUAGGCAUCUUAUCAUUUUCUUCCAUACAAUAAACAAUUGGGCAUGUGGACAGGGCAGGAUGCAACUUGGUUCUUUAGAGGAUAAACUUUUCAUGCACAUUACAAACACUAUCAGGUAAAUUUAUUCCUUUAUUAUGUACUUAAAGCUGAAUAACAUUUUAUUCCGUUACAACUAACGCCAUUUAAUCAAAGGAAAACUUUCAGAUCCACAAAUAAGCAGUGAAAGCACAUAUGUUAGGCAGGGUUGGUAAAGACAGUUGAAAAUCAAAGGUUGUUCAUCUCCAGCCUCAGAAGUUCGUCGACGUAAAUUAAAGCACAUACAUAGCAGAUUUAACUAGAAUCAAAAUCACAAGGCAACUCUCUCUCUCUCUCACACACACACACACACAAACACAACCCUGAAAUUCAUUUUUGCUAAAAGAGGAGAAAAGAGAGGGAAGACAGCAAGUGAGACUCACCAUUGCAGUUGAAGUACGAGAUGGAUUCGCUGGUGCGGGGCGUGCACCACACGUCAGUCUGUCUCAUCCUACCUGACCUGCAUGAGGAAGAAAACCGCACAACAUCAGGGAAAGGGGAGAUGAGCAAAUCGAAUGGAAUCAAACCAAGCACAAGCGGACAGUGCAACUCAGAGAGAGACAGGUACCUCUCAGUGGCCAGGUGGGAAUGGACUACAACAGCAAUCCCCAUCUGCGGUGUCUUGUACGACACCGGAUGGAAGAGCGCACAGCCCCAUCUAGAGCUCACUGCCAAUCUAACUUGAUUUUUAUAAUAUCUUUCUUUUUUGGGGGAAAAAGAUAGACCUACUGCGCAAAUGAAUCUUAAUCAUUCACUGUCCUCUUGAAUAAGAUUCAAGAAUGAAUCUGACUUAUUUGGUAAAUGAAACAAAAUUACUGUUUAACAUGCAUAUAUCGUACAGGUCAUGCCAUUUGUCCAAACAAUGAGGAAAGGUCCAUCUUUUAACUGCCACCAACGAAAUUACCUAUCUCUAGAAAUCUAUGGUCCAGUUGGUUACCAUUGCAACUCUAGCUAGGAAAUAUAUAUUGCACAUCCACCAACAACAGGAACACCAGCACAAACAAAAUGGAGAUUACAAACACCUAAACAAGGCCCUUCUUGGCCCAUGAUGUAAUUCAACAAUUGAGAAAGUGACAAAGUGAUCCAGUAAAUAGUAAGCAGCAGGAAUGAUACCACAAGCAGGAAAUCAAAGCUUUACUUUAGGAAUAUUGUAUCAGGUAGACAUGUUGUCCUUGAAUGCCACCAUUCUCUUCUGACGUGGCAUAUAAAGUUAGGUUUGGCCAAAGUGUUGGAAAUUGCUCUAAUCGAGAAGUAUUUUUCUUCAACAAAUUUUUAAUAAAGAUACAAAAAAAGGCAUUCAAGUUUGAUGCUUAUCGUCAGUUGAAUCCAAGGAAAGCAUGUUACAGUUUACAUCAUCCUAGUUCAUCAUUCUUGCAGUGACAAAGUGAUCCAGUAAAUAGUAAUCAAUCCAAAACUUUAUGGCUGAAAGUGAAGAAUUUUUAGAAUGCAGCAGUUAAGUUACUGAUAUGUUAGAUAUAACAUUUUUAAGAGUCCAUAACAUACUAGUUGGUUGGUCCCAGUGUCAUACUUUCAGCCUUUUCUUCCUAAAGCUUUUAUUCUAGACUUAAAGUGAACCAAACAAGUAGACAUACUCCAAGCAGUGGACCGUAAGGAGAAAAACUGAAAGUGCUACUCCUAGAUGUAAACGAGAGUUACUAAACUAUACAAACAUCUUUGGAAGGAACAUCAUAACAACUUCAGCAUGUAUGUUUUCUCAUCUCAGACUUGCAGAACUUCGUAACGACACCACAAGCAGGAAAUGAAAGUAUCACUUUAGGAAGAUUGUAUCAGGUAGACAUGUUGUCCUUUGAAUUCCACCAUUUUCUUCUUCCGUGGCAUAUAAAUUUAGGUGUGGACAAAGUGCUGGAAAUUGCUCUAGUCGAGAACUAUUUUGCUUCUACGAAAUUGUAAUAAAGAUAUGAAAACUCCCACCAAUAUAUUCAACACUAAAAGGGCUUAACUAAAGCUAAAGCAUGUUGCAUUGACAUAUUCAGGGCUGAUUCCAGAUUGAACUAUGGAACCCCUUGAGAUCACAAUGAGUAAGCAAGAACUAUCCUACGCAAGAAAACCAACAAAGAAUGUUUUCCUGAAGAAACUAUAACUUGGAGGUUGAACUAAAUCCACCUAUGUGGUCACAAGCACUGAUGAAAGUCGUCUUAUCAUCUGAGGCUUGCAGAACUUGCUAACAAUGCCACAAGCAGGAAAUGGCAAUUUUACUCUAGGAAGACUAUCAGGUAGGCAUCUUAUCUUUCUCUUCCAUGUAAUAAACAGUUGGGCAUGAGCACAAGGCAGGAUGCAACUUACUUCUUCAAAGGAUAAAAUUUCCAGGCACAUUACGAACACUAUCAGGUAAAUGAAUUCCUUUAUAUACUUUAUAUGCUAGUCAAUGCAUUCUAUUCCGUCACAACGAAUUCCAUUUCAUCAAAGGAAAACUUUUAGAUCCAUGAAUAACCAGUGUAAGCAGAUAACUUUGGCAGGUUUAGUAAAGAUAGAAGAUAAACAACGGUUGUUCAUAUAAAGCAUCAGAAAUUACACGAUUCAACUCGAUGGCGUAAAUUAAAGCACAUACAUAGCAGACCUCUCUCUCUCUCUCUCUCUCUCUCUCUUCAUACACACACACACAAAAAAAAAACUACAGCACGGAUUUGCCAAGGUCAAUGAUGACCGGCUUCGCCCUCUGAAAUAGGCACGUACAGUACAUAUUCACAAUGCCAUAUGCUUACAUCCAGCCACAGCGCGCAAAAAAACGGAGUUCAUCUACAAAAGGCCUACUCCUUAACAUUAUAUCACACAGACUGAACUACUUACUACUAGCACAACCAUGAAUCUCUAGAUAUAGAAGUAAAACUUUGUUGAUUCAUGACAUCCACAGAAGACAAAGAAAGGCUAACAUCCUUAGAAGUUACAAACAGCAGGGAACAUUUCAUAGCUCUGCGUCUCCCUCCGUCUCUCUUACUCACACACACACAGCAGAGCAGACUGAAAACUCAAAUGCAUUUUUGCUCUCGGAUGGAGAGAAAAGAGAGGGAGGACCACAAGAGAGACUCACCAUCAUAGUUGAAGUAGGAGAUGGACUCGCUGGUGCGGCGCGCGCACCACACAUCAGUCUGUCUCCUCCUACCUGACCUGCAUGAGGAAGAAAACCGCACAACAUCAGGGAAAGGGGAGAUGAGCAAAUCGAAUGGAAUCAAACCAAGCGCAAGCGGAUAGUGCAGCUAAGAGAGGAGAAAGGUAUCUCACAGUGGCCAGGUGGGAAUGGACUACAAGAGCAAUCCCCAUCUGCGGUGUCUUGUACAGGACCAUAGAGAUGAGCAUACGGACCCAUCUAGAGCUCACUGCCAAUCUAACUUGAGUUUUCUACUAUCUUCUUCUUUGGGGGAAUAAGAUAGACCUGCUGUCCAAAUGAAUCUUAGUCAUUCACUGUCCUCUUGAAUAAGCUUGAAAAUGAAAUCUGACUUAUUUGAUAAAUGAAACAAAUAUACUGAUUAACAUGCAUAUAUCUACAGGUCAUGUCAUUUGUCCAAACGAUGUUGAAAGGUCCAUUUUUUAACUGCCACCAAUGAAAUUACCUAUCUUUAUAAGUCGAUGAUCCAGUUGGUUACCACUACAACUCUAGCUAGGAAAUACAUACUGCUCAUCCACCAACAGGAAGACCAGCACAUGGUGCACAUCCACCUACAGGAAGACCUGCACAUGGUGCACAUCCACCUACAGAAAGGACGAGAACAUUACCUGAACGCUGGCUGUUGUUUGGCAUGGUUGCCCCCUCGCCUUGUUGCACCUCUCUGUGCCGUCGUGCUCCAGAUCAUGCGCGCUGCAGUACUCUUGCACAUCGGCGCGCUCGGUCUCGCGGGCCACAGCCUUGCAGCCUCGCUGACUUGCACCUGACUUAUUUGGCAAAUGAAACAAAAUUACGAAAUAGCACGCAUAUAUAUCUACAGGUCAUGUUGAUUGUCUAAACGAUGAGGAAAGGUCCAGUUUUUUUACUGCCACCAACUAACCAACGAGAUUAGCCAUCUCUAUAAAUCUCUGCACCAGUUGGUUACCACAGGAAAUAUAUGGUUUGCAGGAAGCCGUGAACAGGGUACAGGAAGUGGAGCGAGAAGAUUACCAUGAACGCGGUGUUGUUUGGCGUGGUCACCGCUUCGCCUUGCUGCUCCCUCGUGUGCGCCUUGCUGCACCCGCGUGUGCUCCUGCACAUCCGCGUCCUCGGGGGUCGCAGCCUUGCGCCGCCGCACCUGUGCACUAUAGUCUGUUGCGUGCCUUCUUAGAGAAGAUGAGACAUCAGAGAGAGAGAGAGAGAGAGAGAGAGAGAGAGAAGAUGCAUACCCGUCCCUUAUCGAGGUCUUGAAGGAGAGGGAUCCCGAGCUCGGUCGCCAUGGCCGCAGGCUAGGGUUUCGGGCGCGGGGAGCGAGAGACGGAGAGCCGUGGAGGUUGGACGCGGCGGAUGGCUAGGAGGGGUGGAAGGAGGAGGACGCGGUAGCGGUGGUUGCCGCGGCCUGUGGAUCUAGGGCUUCCCUCCGAGAAAGAAGAGAGGGGGGAGAGGAGAAGGUUGGGGGCGCCAGCGGCGCGGUGCAGGGCGGUGGCGGAGGCGGGAGGUCGCCGGUGGGGUGGGGAGAGGAGGUCGUCGGCGGCGGCGGCGGAUUAAAUCGAGGGGAGAUGAGGCGAGGAGGAAGACAGAAGAGAAGGAAGCGGCGGAUUGGGUUUGGAUUUGGGCCAAAGAGAUUGUUUUUGGUUGGUUGGUUGGUUGUGUUGGAUACUUUUUCACAUUCAUCUUUUGAACCAAAUCUUUCAGAGAGGGUGGGAGAGUUCCCACACUUUCGCUUGAUUGAACCAAAUAUUCAUGAAAGCGCGGGAGCGGUCCAAUAUCUCGGUGCCAAAAGAUGGAAGCGGCGAGGUGGGUGGGGUUUGGCGCUAGUUAUCCAUCCAACGAUGCCAAGUGGCCUCACUUUAUUGGUCACUCUUGACCUCCCACGGAUUGAUCAUCCCUCUCCAUCAGAUCCCAACUUUCCUACUAGAUUCGACGGUGGAUACCUCGCGUCACGUGGAUCAUGCUCCCUGCUCUCAGUAAAACCCGACGACCGGCUCUCACAUGAAUUUCUUCUUCAUUUAUUGUUGUAAAUCUGGAAAAAAAAUCUAGAAAACAAGUUUGAUAUAAAUGUAUGGAACUAAAAUAUGUUGAAUUUUUUUACCAUAGCCACUAUUAUUUUUUCAUCACGUGGGACCCACACUUGUGCUUCAAAGUAGCACCAGGAUCUUCAUGAUAGAGAGUCUCUCAUUUUGUCAUUUUCAUUUACUAGUGGGAAUUUUUCAUUAUAGAACUUGGCUUGUAUAUUCCAAUGAUGGGCUUCCUCAAAAUGCCCUAGGUCUUCAUGAGCAAGCGAGUUGGAUGCACACCCACUUAGUUUCUUUUGUUGAGCUUUCAUAUACUUAUAGCUCUAGUGCAUCCGUUGCAUGGCAAUCCCUACUCACUCACAUUGAUAUCUAUUGAUGGGCAUCUCCAUAGCCCGUUGAUACGCCUAGUUGAUGUGAGACUAUCUUCCCUCCUUUUGUCUUCUCCACAACCACCAUUCUAUUCCACAUAUAGUGCUAUAUCCAUGGCUCACACUCAUGUAUUGCGUGAAGAUUGAAAAAGUUUUGAAAAUGUUAAAGUAUGAAACAAUUGCUUGGCUUGUCAUCGGGGUUGUGCAUGAUUUAAAUACUUUGUGUGGGGAAGAUGGAGCAUAGCCAGACUAUAUGAUUUUGUAGGGAUAACUUUCUUUGGCCAUGUUAUUUUGAGAAGACAUGAUUGCUCUGCAAGUGAUAAGGCUUCUCUACAUGCCAUGCAUUCAAGAAUCGCUAUGUCCUGCAUCCCUUCAAUCACCAAUGCUGAGCUUCCCAGGUAAUUUCCCCGUUCAUCGCGACAGACAGCCACCGCCACCCCUCUUCCAUAGCGUUUAGAUACCCCCCGCGUCGACAUGGAUUUUGACGAAUCCUGUCGGCGGUGCCAUUGGCCUUACACUGCCUGUUGCUGCUGUCCUGGGUGCUGCUGCUCUCGGUGUUGCAUGUUAUUGCUCUUUGACUAUCUCCAGCUCAACUAGAUAGCGAUUAAUGAAUGCGUGGGUCGCGUGGGGGCUCUAGAAAAUGCCUUCGUGAAUUGCCUUUCUUCCCGCUAUCCACGUUGCCCACAGUGUUACCGCCAGUUUCACAAAAGCCUCAUGCGAUAAUGAUCGUAUUAAUGAAAACAGCCACUAUUUAGCGCUCAGCUCGCUUGAUUCCAUCAACUGGUCCGCUAACUCCUCAUCCGCCAGUGCCCAGACGCACCUGGACAUAGAGCAGUCCAGAAGAGAGUGCCUCCAAGAAUCAUGUGCACCACACAAUCCGCACGAACUUGAAGUCGCCAUGUUUCGAUGUUCCCUGACAUCCUCCGUGGGUAAUGAGUGCCUCGCAAGUCGCCAUAGGAACAUCCUUAUUUUCCCCGGGACGCUGACAUGCCAUAUGGACUUCCACGAACUCUUUUCUUGCUGCAUAUUUGAAGCUCCUGCUGUCCCUUCGAGCCAUGCUUCUCUUCUUUGCUUUGUUGCUAUUAACAUCUUAUACGCGGAACGUACUGAGAAGGCGCCAUUCUUUUCAAAAUUCCAGCACCAGCAGUCUGGAAGAUUCAUAAUGCAUAGCGGGAUGCUAAGAACAUGAGGUAUAUCUAUGGGCAAAAGAACUUCUCUGAUCCGUUAAUAUUCCAGCACGCCACCGUAGCGUCUAUUAAUUCAGAAACAUUUUCUGGGGGGUUUGCAACUCUGCUUCCAUAAGGUCUCAGGAAUUCAUCUCCUGGGAUCCAAUUAUCAUUCCAAAUAUUAGUGCUUGCACCAUUGCCAAUCCUUCUAAUUAGACCUUGUUUCAAUAUAUCUCUUCCUUCGACUAUUGCCCUCCAGAUUUGGCUCGGGUGGCUGCCGAUGUUGGCUUCUAGUAUUUUUGUAUUUGGGAAGUAAACUCCUUUCAAGAUUCGGGAGCUCAGAGCGUCUGGAUUUUGCAGAAUCCGCCAUGCCUGCCUAGCAAGCAAGGCUAGGUUAAAAAGCUUGAAGUCCUUAAACCCUAAUCCUCCCAUAUCUUUGGGUUGCGUCAUAUCCUUCCAGGAUACCCAGUUUGGCUUUCGCUUGCCAUCUCUACUCCCCCACCAAAACUUGCGGACUAGCAUGUUCAAGUGUUCACAUAGCCCCCACGGCAAUUUGAAGCAAGACAUUGAAAAAACUGGGAUAACCUGCGCAACAGACUUGACCAACACUUCUUUACCUGCCGUGGACAUGGUUUUCUCUAUCCACCCUUGGAUCUUGUUCCACAAACGGUCCUUGAGAUAUUUAAAGGCCCCAUUCCGUGACGAGCCCACAUCCGAUGGCAUGCCGAGAUAUUUCUCAUUAAGUGUCUCCUUGGGUACAUGUAGUAACUCUUUUAAUUUUGAGAAAUCUUCAAUAUUUUUUUUCAAACCUGGAUCUCCAGGACCGAAGCAGGAUGCUCUAUCCACUGGGCCAUCUCAAUCCUUCUAGAGGAAAGUAUCAUUUUCCCCCCGAAAUCCUCUGCAAUGGACCAAUUUCCCCCUCAACUCUAAUACUGGAUCAAUCAGCCCCUCAAAUCUGUAAAACCGGAUCAAUUCUCCCCUAAGGUGGUUUCAGACUUGAUUUGGAGUGGUUUUCACCCAUACCAUGCAUUUCUCUGGAUUGACCGUGCACUUCACUUCAUAACAGUUUGGGUGGAGAUGACUGCUUCAGUGCGUCGAGCUCGCCUCCGUGGCCGGCAUGCUCGCCGCUCGUCGUCUUCUUGGUCUCCACCAGGCUGCCGCUGAUGUACUCCCACCCGAUACCUACAACGUCGUGCCGCUGCUCAGGUCCAACCGCCCGCAAGGGAACCGCUCUGUGUGCCUCGCACCACCCGGACUGGUGCCCCGCUUGGAGGACGUAGGUUUGGGUGGUUGCCUUCAAGACCAACUCGAGUGAUUUGAGGCUCAUCUAUUGGCGGUGGCUCAAAGGGAGAAUAAGGUGAGCUACUUGGUGCUCCGCAACUUUGGCUUCCCCACCUAUCCAAAGGGUACUAGAACUCCCCAAAGAGUGUGAACUUCUAGAUAAAACCUACGUCCUCGACUCACUGGUAGUUUAUUGGUUCCCACACCUUCAGUUGCUUUGUGUGUGUUUUUGCUUGCUAAUUAAUUUUUUUCUUGCAUACCUCCUUUCUUGCUUACCAUAUAGGUUGUUCUAACUGUGGACUGCAUUUCUAGAGAGCUUACUUGGUCCGCACCAACCUCCAAUUUUGGAAGCUAAGCUAAAAUUCGGAAUCUCCUAUUCACCCCACCCCCUAGUCGACGUCUUGAUCCUUUCAAUGGGUGGAGACACGUGACCCAUGCCAGCGUGAUGCAUCUUUAGGCUAGCUAGCUGCCAGAUGGAUCCUUAGCAAGCUAGUCUCUAGAUCAAUCCAUAGCAAGCUAUUCCCUAGAUCAAUCUGUAGCAAGCUAGCUGCCACAUGCAUCCUUAGGCUAGCUAGACGCUCAACACGGCGAUGCGAAAGAGGUGAGGAACACGAAAGAGAGAUAUGGGAGGCGAGAGAGGGGUGGCGGCAAUGUGCAAGAUGGGAAGCGGGGUAGAGAGAGAGACGACCAUGAGGCGUGAUCCGUGAGAACCUUGUGUUGACCAAUCAAAACACAACAUCUUUGGCAAGUGUAAACAGAGGACACUCGACAAAUAAUCAUUGGCAGGUGUAAAUAGCACGACACCCGACAAACAUUUUCCCUUUUCUUAUUUCUUUUUUUUUCAUUGCUAUUUUUUCUAACAGGGGCUCCACACUUGGCACCCCCGGAUACAACUCCUUCAACCCAGGAAAAUACCAGCAAGAAAAGGGAUUAUAAAUGUGUUUAAUGUAUUAAAUAUAUUUAAGUGCGCUUAAUGGAUUAAAUAUAGCAAAUGGAGCAGGAAAAAAUGCCAAAUUCUGGCAUGGAACAUCUGAUGAUGUAUGUUGAGCCAGAAAAAGUUUCAACGUCAAACGAUAAAGUAACCAGCACUCCGCUUUCAAACCAGACUCAUUUCUUCUCAAAAUCACGAUUCUUCCUUAGAGAUGGUUUGGUUUUCUAAGGAGUGUAUGUUCCAAAUUUUGUGAAGCCUUUUCCAAUUUUUACCACAACCUAUAGGGAUAAUAUAAUUACACCAUGUCAAGUUUCAUGUUUUCCUGGCUUCAUUCCAUUUUCUACAUUUAGAAAUAAAUAAGCUCCAUGUUCGUGGUCAAGUCUUGGCACCUUGAUGUUUGUGAUUCCUUUUAUUUUCUUGGAUAAGGCUUGAAUAUGUACUCAAGAACACAAAUAGGAUUUUUCAACCCAAUUUUGCCAACCUUUUCACGCACUAGAAUUUUCUAUCUCUUCUUAUGAACUUCCAGUUCAAAUUUUAAUUAUACUGAAUGCCUAGAUAUGCACUACAUGGACUGAAUGUAGCAAACGGACCCCGAAAAUGUCAAAUUUUGACAUAGAACAUUUUAUGGUGUAUCUUGAGUGUAGAAUUUUUUUUAAGGCAAACGAUAAAGAAGCAAUUGCUUUGCCUUCAACUCUUAGAUGUUCCCUUUCAAAAGAGUGAUUCCUUCUCGAAGAUGUUCCUCCAGGCACUCUACAAAGGGCUUGUUUGCCUAGUGCUCGAUAAAAGACACUCGGCAAACACCCAAACUCUCGGCAAAGACAUAUUUUCCCGUAGUGUGAGACACACAUGUGCCAACCUGGGCUUUUGAUCUCUGAUGGGCUGGGUACAACCACUCUCCUAACCAUCUAAGCACAUGUUGGUUCUUAAAAUGUUGUGCCCUACAUAGUCUAGAACUUCAAUGUUGACUCAUGCAUGAUUAAGAAAACGUUUCUAAAUUAGCACUAGCUAUUAUCAAGGUCAUUAUGUAUUCUUGCCAUGUACAACUAAGUACAGUAGAGUCUGGUGUACAGUAGAGAAGAUGCGAUCUUAGCUGUUGUUAGACGUGUUGCUACUUUCGCCAAGCAUACUUACGUUAGCGAACUUAGCUAUCAUGUAAAGGAGCUUUCCCCCCAAAAUAAAAAUCAUGUAAAAGAGCUUACUUAGACAAAGCGGUGUAACGGGAAAGAUACGUAGAUUUUCAUUUCUUGGUGCAACACAUGCAUGCACACAUACACGUAAACAUACGCAUGCAGUUCUUGCUUUUUUGGUGUAAACAUAGCCGGAACCGCUAUAAGAGCUAGCAGACCAACCUGCUAAGAAGGAAAAGGAACAGAGUUCCAUGCAGCUCUCUCCUAGUCCUAGGAGAGCAUCGCCAACGACGCCAAGCAUGCAGCUACCGCACGCUAUUGGUCUUUUAUUCUCGCGCCUUUGCCUAGCAAGACAUAUACGCGGGCGUAUGGAAGCGUGCACGUACCCCCGGAGACAGGUACGUACGUACUAGGACUUGCAUACACCCUUACGUACCCCCGGCGACAGGUACGUACGUACUAGGCCUCUUUUCGCCGUUCACAAGCCAACUGUUUGUUCGUUCCUGUGCAGUUGUUGCGCGUGUUCGGCCUGUAUCGGCGGGGCAACAGCGACGCCGAGUUCAAGUACCUCCACGUCUACAAGCGCAUCGACAAGUGCGACAAGUGGUCGGAAGUCCGGCGCACCAUCGAGAAGGCCAAGGAGACCUACACGCCUGACGCGCCGUCUCCGGGCGCGUCAGAUGGGCGGCCGGACGGCAACAAAGGUGCCAAGAAGGGAAAACACGCCGACGCGGCCACAUCUCGCGUGCAGGAGUCCAUCUAGCACUGCCUCACCGACGCAGAGGUCCGGGCCGCCCUUCGUGAAGAGAAGACCGAGGCGCGUUGGUCGGCGUUGAUGUCGACCAGCGCCGUCAAGCUCGACCUACUCAGGACCAACGUCACCGCGAAGAAGAGGAACACUGACCUGGCUUUCCUGCUGGGCGGGGCAGACAUGCUCCAAAGCACCGACGAGGCGGUCAAGGCGUGGUACAGGGCGCAUGUUGGCCUCAUCCUGGACCAGCUUCCCUCGGCGACGCCGCCCACGCACACGCCGCCGCCGCCGCCAAGCCCGACCGCUGAUGCCGCUGAGACUGCCCGCAGCACAUAAGCCACGCCCCCAAGCACAGAGGCCCCGUCAAGCCCGCGCACGUCGACUCCAGCGACGCCAGAGGCCGACCUUGCCGCAUGAUGCGCGCUUCCGUCCUUUCCUGCUUUUUUGUACGCCGAACAUUUCAUCCGACCGCCGAUCUAGGCCGCUUGAUCACCGGAUUGUGGCAUCUAUUUUGGGCGCGGGAACGACUAUGUUUAAAUUUUUCCGUGGCUGGGGGCGGCAGCUAGGGGCGUGACUGGGAGCUAGGCCGGCCCCAGGGGCCGAACUAGCGCCGGCUCGCCCCCAGGCCGCGGUUUUUCUGCGCCCUGGGGGACCGAACGGCUGGAGAUGCUCUAAGAAGGCACCACUAUCGUCGUCGCAGCCUUGCUGCUUGUGUGAUGCAUUGGGAUUUUCCCCGAAGAGGAAGCGUGAAGCAAUAUAGUAGCGGAUAGUAUUUUCCUCAGCAGAGAACCAGUGUUAUCGAACCAAUAGGAGAACCACGCAAACACCCACCAAUAGUAUCUACAUACACAAUAGCAAAUACUUGCACCCAACAUGGGCAAGAGUGUUGUCAAUCCCCUUGUACUUGUUAAUUGCAAGGAUCAAAUCUGGUAAUAGGUGAUAUAUAAAUUGCAAAGUAAAAUAAAAGAUAAAAAGUUGCAGAAAGGUAUUUUUGGUUUUUGUAAUAUGAUUAAAUAGACCCAGGGAAUAUAGUUUUCACUAGAGGCAUAUCUCUCAUAAAGAUGGCAUACGGUGGGUAGACAAAUUACUGUUAGGCAAUUGGUAGAAAAACGCAUAGUUAUGUCGUUAUUCUUGACAUGAUCAUGUACAUAGGCAUUACGUCCCUGACGAGUAGACCGGCUCCUGCCUACCGAUGAUUCCAAUUUAUGUGAUGAUUUUGACAAGUAUUCUAUGCCUAGAUGGGGGGCUUUGUGGAAUGCAAUACAACGUUGAAGCUCAGCUGCAAGAGGACACCGCCGCAUGGAAGAAACUUCGAACCCGAGGUGUGGUGUAAAAAUAACAAGGUAUUGAUAGUCUGAGAACUAAAGAGGCUUCUCAGAUGCCCGACGUGUGAUAUCCUCAGAUGCCUGAUGUCUUGUGAACUCUUCGGAUACACCUCGGCAGUCCUCAAGAUCGGAAAUGGGAAGAAUUAUUGAACGAGCUUUCAAAAUCGACGACCGAAGACAAAGAACAGUUCGGAAGAACCGAGGAGCGUCAUCGCUUGAAGACCGGUUUAGGGGGCUACUGUUGGUCUCCUAGACUAAGGGGUACUCACCACAUUGUUGCCCGACCAGGUGGGUUGGGCCGAGGACCCCCAUGGCGGUUCAUUAAUGGGCUUCUUCGGGUAGCCCAUGACGUAUACAAGGAAAUUUGUAUAAGACUGGAUGCACAAGACGAUAACCCUUCUAAAUCCUAGGCCUCCGGUGCAUUAUAUAAACCGAGGCUAGGCUAGUCAACAGAUCAUGUGGUAUUACAAUCUUGUGGUAGAUACAUGUACUCUAUACUACACCCCAUAUCAAUUAUAGUCAAAAACAGCAUGUAGGUUAUUAUCUCUUCGAGGGAGGCUAAACUUGGGUAAAAUCUCUAUGUCACUUGUUCGCCAUGUUACCAUCGUGUCAAGACGCCUAACUUAGGACCCCUACCUCAAGAUAUGCCGAAUUUAGCACCAACAACACGCAUGCAGCGCCUCCCUGCAAGGCCACACCAGGCCGCCCCCGCAAUCUUGCAUGCCCAAUCCACUAGCACACCACGCUCUAGCAGACAAGCACCUAGCAUGCCAGGAGCCAGAGCCACCGCGCGGACCUCCGCUCCACCCAUGCUUCCUACACGCCUGCACUCCAGGCGCACCAUGCGUCCUUGCCCGAGAUCAGUUCCCACGUCCCGGACAGGAGGCCUGUGAGACGCCGACGCACGUGGACCCAAGCCCCUCUUGCGCUGCCUCGCCUCGAUGCCCCUGACCGCCCGCGGGAGCGACCAAGGAGCAAGCAUACCAAGGAGUUUGGUCUAAGUUCGAUUUUCAUUACGAAAGACAGGGUUCAAACACACUACUACCUCCGUUUCAUAUUAAGCGUUGAUUUAGUAUAAAGUUAGCGACACUUAAUAUAAAACAUGAACGGAGGGUGACAUGUGUCGUGAGGUCAAUGCAUUCAUGUGGUAGCUUGAGAGGUGUUGAGUGGGACGACAGAGGGGUGCUUUACUAAGAUAAAUCCAUAUUACAAAUGAAGGAAAAUCCAUAAGAUUGCAAUUAACGGCCAUAGAACAGCCGGAACCGCUACAAGGAAAAGGAACAGAGUUCCAUGCAGCUCUCUCCUAGUCCUAGGAGAGCAUCGCCAACGACGCCAAGCAUGCAGCUACCGCACGCUAUUGGUCUUUUAUUCUCGCGCCUUUGCCUAGCAAGACAUAUACCCUUACAUUAUUAUUAUUAUUAUUAGGUGCGUGACAUGACACUCACACCGCCUCGAUGAUGGCGCCCGCCACCGCUUCCCAGCCGCGGAGGUGCUCGUCAUCGACGAUGUUGCUGCCGCGAACGCACUGUCGCACGCACUGUUGGUGCUUGGUCCGAUCUUUCCAGCCCUGACACUUCCUUUAGCAAGACAGUUGGCACUCCCUGUCGCACGGACGCCCGGCG
rnacentral:lncRNA from 1 species